GACAGCUCAGUGCUCUGUCGCUGCAGCUCAGCUGGAACGGGCAGGGACAGGGGAUGCUGAAGCACAGCUCUCUCCUCUCCGUGACCACAUCAGGCAGCCUCACCAGAACCUCCCAUCUGUGGGUCUGCAGGGCCACGGACAGCCUCAGCCAUUCCUCCAGGGUGCUGAGACAGAGGAAACCAGCGGUGUUUGCCCUCAGAAGGGGGAGCUCAGCAGCUGCUGCCUCUUGUGUGCCUUGCUCUGCUCUGGGGUAGUUCUCCAGGCAACUCUUCACACUCCUGCCUCAGGAGAUGCUCUCACAGAAGUUAACUCCAGGUUCUUCCUCCUGUCUUUGCUUAUUCUAAGGAUUUAGCAUCAUCUUCUAGCAGCCUGAGCUGACUUUCAGUCCAGUAUGUGCAGCCUUGCAGAGCUUUAGCUGGAUCUUGAAUGUCUUCAUCCUAUCCACUAUAGCUCAACAAGAUUUUAUUUGAAGGAAUCUGUUGGGAUAUAUUCUCUGCUGCUACCUGUAUCAUGGCACAAUGUGCACCAUCCGAGAAACAAGAACAUGGGAGUGGUAUUUCACAAAAACCGCAGGGCCUCACAGUUUGUCACACAGCUUGAAUCAUCCUUUGUGAAGGCCGUCAAUUCAGUAUUAAAACCUCUGUAGCAUAUAUCACCAUUUUCAGUAAAAUAACUGAAAAUAACCUAGAAGGCUGUAAACUACUCUGCUUUUAUGAAAUAAAUUGCUUGUGCAAUAAAAGAAAAAUACAUUUACCACAGUUAAUUAUAAUCAGCACAGGUAACUGAGGUAUAGUUCUGUACAGGUAAGCCUGAAGAAUACUUUGAGGAUUAUCACAUCCUGGAGAGUAACGUACUGAGUAAACAGCAUAAGAAAUUUUAUAGUGAGUUCUGAAAUGACUUGAUGUAUGUUUUCAAGAUGGAUGAGGAAGUCAGAAAAUAUUUCUAAAUAAUUGCUUGUUUGGUGCUGGUUUGUGUCAAGAGCUGUUGUUUAAACUAGAGGGAGAGAGAUGCUGUCCUAGAAGGUUUGACUUAUGUUUACAGUAAUUUGUUUGGCCAGUGCUUAUUACUUAAUAAUCAAUCUUUAUUAUUACAUUAAUUCUAAUCGGGCUAUGUGAAACAUGCAGUGCAUUGACCACAUGACAUCAGUUUACUUGCUGAAUAAUUUAAGCUAUUUCCUCCUAAUACCUUAGGCUGCAAUGUCAUUACUCUCAGGCUGUCCUAAUAUUCUAGUUAUAUUGAUGUUAUUUCACUUGUUAUUACCUUCUUGACGUGAAAUUGUUUUUCAGAUAUGGAAAUCAUGCUCAGAUAUUUCUGGAUGACAGAAUUUGGCAUUAGUUUGUAAUGUAUUAUAAUAACAAAACAGUGCAACAUAAAGCAAAUGAUUUGUUUUCUAACGUAUACUAGUCUUCACAGAAAGGAGACAAAAGAUGCCAGAAGGGGAAAUUUGGUCCGUAUAUUUUUCUGUAUAUUCUUAUCUAUUUUCUCAGAAUGUGGGGAAUAAUCUCUCUGAUAAUACAGUAGAAGCAAAUGUGCAACCAUUAAAUGGACAGUGUGAUUUAUCCGACUUCACGCU
rnacentral:lncRNA from 7 species